ACCUCGUCGGUUCCUCAAUGGAGACGCGGCGCGUUCGUGCUACCCGUCGUCCUCCCUAGUGGUCUCAUCCACUUCCGGCGUCGGCGCCUUCCAUUCACUACGCCCUCAAGCCCGCCAGCUCGGGGAGCGCGGAGUGGCGCGUACCAUUGCGGGCGGGGGAGCUGGGCGCGGGGCUCCUGCGCACCUCCGGCCGGCCUGGCAGACCCGGCGCGCCGAAGCCGGACGAGGGAGACCUCCACCUCCGGCCACCGGCCAGAGGCGCGCCCCCAGCGGCCAGGGCCGCGGGAAAGUCCGCGCGGCAUGCUUCAUUCACGCAUUCACAUUCAUUCAUUUACUCAUUCACUCACUCAUUCAUCGCGGGGCCCCGGAGCAGCCCAGGAGAAGGUGGCAGCACCGCCCUGCAGCAGCUCCGGGGGCACGCCCACCCGGGCCUCUGAGGUGCCUGUGGUCGACACUUGUCCCGGCAGCUACCAAGUGACCUUUCUUAUUUUUGAGACCACGUGUUGCAAUUUUUGGUUCAGGAAAUAGAGUCAUUGUUACUCUGGGGAGGUACAAAAGAAAGAAAUGAUGUUGUCCCUGCCCCCAAGCGCAUCACUAGGGAGAAAGGACUAUCUCAUAAAAAGGAAACUUAAUCAAAUGCUAAAUUGGGCGAUGUGGGCUAUAAAUUAACCAGAGCUAUCCCCACAGGCUCCGUGAGAAAGGCAGCACUUCCAAGGCGGGUAAGAUGGGCCCUGAGAAAGGGACGCCUUACAACGGUGCAAGCCGUAGAGACGCAGGAGCCAGGGGUAGGAGGUUGUCCUGGGAGACAGCGCGGGACCCUGCAUCACCUUGUUUCGGGAACCUAAACUAAGACACUGGAUACUGAAAAUGGUUUGACAAAGCCGACCCUCACUCAAGGCUUCACGUUGGAAUCUAUCUUCCCACCUGUUUCAGAGUCACAGGGUCUCCAUACCUCUGAAAAAGUUUGCUGACCGCUGGUGACCGUUCAUCACACAGUGGCGUUAUGAUUACUGGAGUUUUCACCUGUGGUCAGUUAUGAUGGGUGCA